rnacentral:lncRNA from 1 species
UAGGGCUGUUCGUUUGGUUGCCGCAGGUACCGGCGGCAGCGGCAGCGUCAACAUUCUGCGUCAACUCUUGUUCGUUUCGUUGACGCAGGAAACUGCGUCUGACGCCGCGUCCGAACGCCGCGUCCUGCGGCUGACGCCGAUAAAAUCUGCGGUCGCGAUAUAGUAUGCGGCAGCGUCAGCGUCUGCGAAACGAACAACAACUGUCCUCAUUGACGCUGCCGC